rnacentral:rRNA from 1 species
GAUGAACGCUGGCGGCGUGCCUAAUACAUGCAAGUCGAGCGAACAGACGAGGAGCUUGCUCCUCUGACGUUAGCGGCGGACGGGUGAGUAACACGUGGAUAACCUACCUAUAAUACGGGGAUAACUUCGGGAAACCGGAGCUAAUACCGGAUAAUAUAUUGAACCGCAGGGUUCAAUAGUGAAAGACGGUUUUGCUGUCACUUAUAGAUGGAUCCGCGCCGCAUUAGCUAGUUGGUAAGGUAACGGCUUACCAAGGCAACGAUGCGUAGCCGACCUGAGAGGGUGAUCGGCCACACUGGAACUGAGACACGGUCCAGACUCCUACGGGAGGCAGCAGUAGGGAAUCUUCCGCAAUGGGCGAAAGCCUGACGGAGCAACGCCGCGUGAGUGAUGAAGGUCUUCGGAUCGUAAAACUCUGUUAUUAGGGAAGAACAAAUGUGUAAGUAACUAUGCACGUCUUGACGGUACCUAAUCAGAAAGCAACGGCUAACUACGUG